rnacentral:rRNA from 1 species
UGGGGAAUAUUGCACAAUGGGCGCAAGCCUGAUGCAGCCAUGCCGCGUGUGUGAAGAAGGCCUUCGGGUUGUAAAGCACUUUCAGCGAGGAGGAAGGUGGUGAGCUUAAUACGCUCAUCAAUUGACGUUACUCGCAGAAGAAGCACCGGCUAACUCCGUGCCAGCAGCCGCGGUAAUACGGAGGGUGCAAGCGUUAAUCGGAAUUACUGGGCGUAAAGCGCACGCAGGCGGUUUGUUAAGUCAGAUGUGAAAUCCCCGGGCUCAACCUGGGAACUGCAUUUGAAACUGGCAAGCUAGAGUCUCGUAGAGGGGGGUAGAAUUCCAGGUGUAGCGGUGAAAUGCGUAGAGAUCUGGAGGAAUACCGGUGGCGAAGGCGGCCCCCUGGACGAAGACUGACGCUCAGGUGCGAAAGCGUGGGGCAGCAAACAGGAUUAGAUACCCUGGUAGUCCACGCUGUAAACGAUGUCGAUUUUGGAGGUUGUGCCCUUGAGGCGUGGCUUCCGGAGCUAACGCGUUAAAUCGACCGCCUGGGGAGUACGGCCGCAAGGUUAAAACUC